GUCAACCCAGAAUCAGUCAAGAUCAGCUGUCAUCUGGAAAUUCAUAACCCAAAACCGAAAACGAAACAAACCACGUUUGCGCGAUAAGUUUUCGAUUUUGGGCGUCUAUCGAUUCCAGUUGUGAAGGACUAGUGCACUCAGAUUGCGCUGAUACACGAAACAGUUUCAUAACAAAAAUUAUCAUUGGCUGAGAACACCGAUCCGAGAUACUUAAAUCGUUCAAUUCUGGGUAGGCCAUUACCCUGCUACAUGAUGGGUUUUUUCCAUUUUUGGAUGAGUUAUUCGAGAUCAGCUUUGUCGUGGGACUUUAGAAAGAUGUCAUCUGCCCAAAUCGGUAUGUAGUGCGCUGGAAAUCAAAUGUCCGACGUGGCAGCGUCCACAAUGCCUCCUUGGUGAACGCAGAGAGAGAUAAUGAUGAACAUUAAGUAGAGGAUAAAGCCGAAAAUCAUCCCUCAAAGAAAUCGGCCACCGUUUAGUGAAUGCUAAUUACAUGGAAUAAAAAUAUAUAAAUCAAAGAGAUUACUAUUCAAUUCUA